UUGGCUUCUCUUUUGAAACCAAGAGAUGCACCUCUUUUAUAUGCCAUAUGAUUAGGACCAUCACCUUAGUUUCAGUGAAUUGUUAUUUUCAGAAAGAAAAUUUGAAAAUCUCAUCUUCAACUCUCACUCAAGGCAGCAUUACGCUGCUGUCCACCUACGUUUUGGUCAUGUAGCAUAUAUCAGACUCAACUGACAGCUUUUUGUCAGUGAAAUAAAUUGAUCAGGUUUUGACCACAUGGAUAUUCACCUUUCCGUCUGGACUAAGUGGAAGAAAGAUGGACUUCCUCAGAAACAGUUUUGUCUUUUGUCACGUUCGUAGACUAAAUCGCCUCUUCCUCUUCAUGCAGAGUUCAGGUGGUGAAAGAAAAGUGGCAGCAUGGACCAAAUACAGCACAGUUAGUUUGAAAACUGCAUCUUACGUGUUCGAAGAUCCGGAAGGGGAUUCUUUUUGAAACUGCAUCAGGCUUCUCCCGAUGUGUUUGAAGCACUGAACUGUAUCUAGUAUCUCUGUGUGGGUCAAAAUAGAAACAAACUGCUAGUCAGUACAAUUUUGUUGCUUCAAGUAGAGUUUUAAUAAAGUUGAUGAAAACAA